rfam:Vibro shilonii strain QT6D1 chromosome 1, complete sequence.
UCAUCACCAUCAUCACCCAGCUUAAUCUUUCGGGAGAUGAACGCAUACCCGAGAGAUAGGUAAAACUCUCGGAGGUUCGAUUUAAGAUUUAAAGAAUUAAACCCUCGGGAGACCAAAGCUCCCGAGGGUUUUUUCGU